rnacentral:rRNA from 1 species
AACGAACGCUGGCGGCAGGCUUAACACAUGCAAGUCGAACGCCCCGCAAGGGGAGUGGCAGACGGGUGAGUAACGCGUGGGAAUCUACCUAGUUCUACGGAACAACAGAGGGAAACUUCGGCGAAUACCGUAUACGCCCUAAGGGGGAAAGAUUUAUCGGAAUUAUAUGAGCCCGCGUAAGAUUAGCGAGUUGGUGGGGUAAUGGCCUACCAAGGCGACGAUCUUUAGCGGGUCAGAGAGGAUGAUCAGCCACACUGGGGCUGAGACACGGCCCAGAAUCCUACGGGAGGCAGCAGUGGGGAAUAUUGGACAAUGGGCGCAAGCCUGAUCCAGCCAUGCCGCGUGAGUGAUGAAGGCCUUAGGGUUGUAAAGCUCUUUCAGUGGGGACGAUAAUGACGGUACCCACAGAAGAAGCCCCGGCUAACUUCGUGCCAGCCGCCGCAGUAAGAC